AUGACCAAAAAGGAGCCAGAUGUGGCCCCCGCAAGUCCUAAGGUUGAAGCUGGGGAGAGCUCUCCAAGGCUGGGGUGUAAGGCUGGCCCCAGCUCGGAGGACACUGGAAACACCAGCCUCAUGGAUCUGGGGUGGGGUCAGGCUAGAGGCUGGGUGGCCUUUAGCAAAGCAGCCAAUGGAAACAAGCCUUCAGAACCUUCUGAGGUCAACCCAGCUGUGGAACUCAGCUUGGCCAGGUCCUGGAGCAGUGGGACUGUGAGUUUCGGCCACCCUAGUGACAGCCUUGAAUCUACCUGGGAAGGAGAGACUGAUGUCCCCGCACCCACUGCCCUGACAGAAAUCCUGCCACGGAGCCCCAGCCCCCACCUCCUACACUCAGAUGACAGAAUUGGAGAUGGUGUUGCCCAGGCGAUACCCACGGAAUUCCAGGGCACCUCAGCUCUGCCAGCCCAGAGCCCCCAGCGCGAUGCAGGUAGAUGGAGGACAGAGCCUACCAGCCUGCCCAGCUCGCAGCUCAAGGACCAAACCUGGAAGCGGACAAAGACAUCACCUAAGCCACUGCCCUCCCGAUUCACCGGCUCCAGCAGCCCCCUGAAUCCUCGGCCUAGGCCGGCCCAGGAGAGAUUGCAGCCCAGGCAGGGGGCUACUCUGGCUGGCCGUUCCUCUUCUGAUGCCCCCCAGUAUGGCCGGGGGCGUCUGAACUACCCACUCCCUGAUUUCUCCAAGGUGGGGCCCCGGGUGAGGUUCCCCAAAGAUGAGAGUUACCAACCCCCCAAGUCCAAGAGCCACAGCAGGCAGCCUCAGGGCUCUGCUGGACCUCUGAUCUUCAAGUCACCUGCCGAGAUUGUUCGAGAGGUGCUGCUGAGCCGUGGAGAGGCGUCCCUGGCCAAGGACGCAACCCCUGCCCAUCUCGUCACCAGGGUGCCCCAGGAGUUUCAGACACCUGAACAAGCCACAGAGCUGGUCCAUCAGCUCCAGGAGGACUACCACAAGCUCCUCACCAAGUAUGCCGAGGCCGAGAACACCAUCGACCAGCUGCGCCUCGGGGCCAAGAUCCACCUGUACUCGGACCCGCCCCAGCCUAGCCACAGCACCCACAUGGGGACGGUGCCCCAGGGGACCAAGGUCUUGUCCUUCACCAUCCCCCAGCCCCGCUCAGCAGAGUGGAGGCCCAGCCCCGCCAAGCAGCCCCAAGCCUCGGAGGCCGCAGGUGAGUCUGGGAAGGAAGUUCCUCCUGUCACUCAUCUCAGGGAGCCUCGGUCACCCUGGGCCAGGGAAAACACAGGCUGCUAUCUGGGCCUUGUGACAUAAAGAAGUCAAGCAAUGGGAAAAGGGCCUUGUGUGUGGCCAGGGCACCCAGUUGGGCCCUGACUCUGCCACUGGGCAUCUUGGAAACGUUGGGAGUGGGGAGCGGUGACUGCAGCCAGCCCCUGCAGUCCGUGUGACACCUGUGAUGUGGUCUCAGUUUAACCCUGCACCGACCUGGUGAGGGACGCACUGUUGUCACCCUGUGACCAUUAAGAGACCAAGGCUGAAGGUCACACAGUAAUGAAGGGAAGGGUUGGGACCAGGCCCCACUCGUCCCCGAGUUAGAGGCCACGCUACUACUGGGAACCCCAAGGCCCGCAUGGCUCUAUUCCUCCCAGCUUGGGACCUGGUUCUCACCCUGCCCAGCCCUAUCCCUGGGGCCAGUGUGAAGACGGCUGAGCUGUAACCUGAGGAUAGACGUGGGGGUUCUGAGCUUUCAGUUUGUCGGUCCUGGGAGGACUAUCCUCAUCCUCGACACCUGUGUCUUCCAGGGUGGCCCACGGCCCAAGGAGAACUGAGCCCCUCCUCACACCCCAACAUGCCCACCCCAGGGUGGCUUCCAGAGAGCCAGGGCAUUGCCACCGUCCAGCCCUCCGCAGAGUGGACCCACACGCUGGCUUCUCAGGCCAGCCGGCUCCUGGCCAAGGUGAGUAGGUCACUGCUUUGCCCUGGGAGGUACUGGGAGAUACAGCUGGCAGUGUGGGCACAAGGCUUUCACUUCCCACCACUGCACUGAGGUCCGGCGGCCGGCCCAAAAUACGAGUCUCGGGGCUGGGGAUUUAGCUCAGCGGCAAAGCACUUGCCUGGUAAGCGCAAGGUCUUGAGUUCAAUUCCUGGUACCAGAAGAAAAAAAAAAAAAAAAAAAAAAAAAAUACGAGUCUCAAAGUAUGAGCUGAGGAUAUAGCUUAGCAACACAGCGCCUGCCUGGCAAACACAAGGUCCUGAGUUCGAUUCCUACUACCAAAUAUAUAUAUAUAUAUAUAUGUAUGUCUCUCCCUAGACCUUAGGGGCUGCACAUGAUGACUCCUCCUCCUCUUCCUCCUCUGUGUCACCAGGACUAGCCAGAGCCCUCUCGCUUGGCACUGUUUCCCUUUACAACCUCUCCAGGUGUAUUUGAAGGUGUCUCCGGGUGACCCAAGGGAGCCCCCCUCAACCCUUUCUUCUUCAGGUCAAAUCAGCCCCUGUCUGAGACCAUUUCACCACAGAAAUUAACUCUCAGGAACCUCUCAGAGGGUCUUUAUGUUGUCAUCAAACACUCCAACUUACUGUGAGUUUUCGCAGGUCUCUCUGUAACUACACGCCUGGCCCUAUUCCAAAAGUGCUUAACGCAGCUUAUGAAAAUACCUAACGUUUAACCACAUUCUGAAAGCGGAAGUGAGGAAACUGGGGCAGAGGGGAAGUUAGGGUAAAGAAAGACAAAUUAACUUAGGGUGAAAUGGGUAAACAGUGUCCUAUUGGACCCUGAGCACUUAACCACUCCUUGGGCUUUACCUUCCCAGUUGCUGACCCAAAAGUGUAAAUGCAAUUAUCCUGUGUUCAGCAAGUGCGGUCCUGCAGAGAAACACCAUCUUUCCUUUUUUCAUUUUGUUUUGAGACAGAGUCUCACUAUGUAGCCAGGCUGGCCUCGAACUUCCCAUGAUCCUCCUGUCCAGCCUUUCCAGUGCUAAGAUUGCAGGUGUGAACCACUGGAGCUAGCUGUUCCCCUCCCGUCUCCUCCUCCCUUCCCUCUCUUCCCCUUCCCUUUCCUUUUCUUUCCUUUCCUAUCCUCUCCUUUCUUUAGUAGCAGCUUUUUUGAGGUAUUGAUCUGAAGGAGGACAUGCUCUGAUUGUAAAACGCAGCCCACACUUCAAAAGAAGAAUAGAAACUAUCUCACUAGUAACUUUCUUGUGGUUACCUAUUGAAAUGAUAUUUGGAGUUAAAGAAAAUAUAUUAUUCAAACUAUACAUUUUUCUCAUUUCACCUUUUUUCCCCCCAGUACUAUGGAUUGAACCACGGCCUUCACAUUAAGCUACAUCUUAGACUUUUUUUUUUAAUUUUAAAACAGGGUCUCUCCCAGUCACUUAAGUUGCCCAGGCUGGGCUUGAACUUGAAUCCUCCUGCCUCAGCCUCCCAGAGUGCCACAAUUACAUAGAUGUACCAUCAUGCUUAGCUUCUUUUUACAUUCUUAAUCUGCCUCCUAUAAAAUUUUAUUUUAUACAUGGAGUUCAUAUUUGUAUUCUACAUAUUACGUACAUUAUAUAUUAUAGUAUUAUUAUAUUACAAAAAUUUCUGUAUAUUUCAUUGACAUAGAGCUUUCGUAAAAGUGAUUCCAAAUCACCCCUUGCCUUUUUCUUAGUAAAAUGUCUUUUGUAAAGGGCUUAAAUGCACAUGGCAGAGACCCUCACACAGCAAAGGGUGUGUUCAGUGGAAGUCAGCCUUCUCACCCCCUGAGAAGGGUGCAUGUAGAUUAUUUGGAAACUGUGUGCCCAUUUUAUAGAAGGACUUGAACAUCCUCGGGUUUCAGUCUCCACAGGGAGCCAGUGUUUCCAGAACCAAUCCCACUGUACAAGGAAACAUUUAUUCUUUCCCUUUUCAUUUCCUACAUAUUUUAUGCAAGUGGCAGCCUACACUGAUCUCUGGGUAAUGCCUUCAUUUAGCCCUGAAAAAUAGGUCUUGGAGGUGUUUUUGUUUUGUUUUUUUGCCCCGUACCAAGAAUUGAACUCACGACCUUGCACUUGCCGGGCAGGCCUUGCACUUGCCGGGCAGGCGC
rnacentral:lncRNA from 1 species